GAUGAACGCUGGCGGCGUGCCUAAUACAUGCAAGUCGAGCGAAUGGAUUAAGAGCUUGCUCUUAUGAAGUUAGCGGCGGACGGGUGAGUAACACGUGGGUAACCUGCCCAUAAGACUGGGAUAACUCCGGGAAACCGGGGCUAAUACCGGAUAACAUUUUGAACCGCAUGGUUCGAAAUUGAAAGGCGGCUUCGGCUGUCACUUAUGGAUGGACCCGCGUCGCACUAGCUAGUUGGUGAGGUAACGGCUCACCAAGGCAACGAUGCGUAGCCGACCUGAGAGGGUGAUCGGCCACACUGGGACAGAGACACGGCCCAGACUCCUACGGGAGGCAGCAGUAGGGAAUCUUACGCAAUGGACGAAAGUCAGACGGAGCAACGCCGCGUGCGUGAUGAAGGCUUUCGGGUCGUAAAACUCUGUUGUUAGGGAAGAACAAGUGCUAGUUGAAUAAGCUGGCACCUUGACGGUACCUAACCAGAAAGCCACGGCUAACUACGUGCCAGCCGCCGCUGUAA
rnacentral:rRNA from 1 species